rnacentral:tRNA from 1 species
GGGGAUGUAGCUCAGAUGGUAGAGCGCCCGCUUAGCAUGCGGGAGGCAUUGGGAUCGAUACCCAACUUCUCCA